AUGGGCCCCCCCCGAGCCCAGCGCCGCGCCGUCCCCGCAGCACCGCUGGGGAAACCGAGGCACAGAGAGGCCCAGCCUGGGCUCACGGCUCCGCCGCCUUGUCCUGCUCCGCCGGCCUCCCAGGGGGGGCCACGAGGCUCCUGCCGGUCCAAGGGACCAACCUGGAGCCCCACACCCCCCCAGGGGGUGGGAAGAACGGGGCGCCGUGCGCCCUUGGUCGCCCUGCCUGAGACCUGGCAAACUCGUGGCACGCGUCCCGGAGGAGGUUGGGGGGGCCGGCGGGUGGGCGGGCGCCGCGGGGGUGCUUACUGGGUGACGUCGGUGAGGUCGUCCCUCCCUCCGAAGUUGUCGUGGCUGAUUUGGUGUCAGGAGAGACGGCCAAGCGGGGCAUGCCGGGGGGAGGUGGCGGUGCCAGCAUCUGCGUGGGCAGGUAGUGGCUGGGCACUUUCACUUGACCACUUCCAUUUAACUGGGGACACAACACAGACACAGAACACAAAAAACAGCACAGAGGCAUUAGGGAGGGCGGCGCGGCCCUCGGUGGCACGAGUUUGCUGGGUCUCAGAGCUGACGGAACCGAUGAGACCCCACCUGGGGGUCGCAGGGUGGGGGGAUCACAGUGCCAGCCUCGAUCCGGCCCGACCCCGCAUGGGAGGGUCGGCUCUGCCCCCCGCAGUGGUGCCAGACCCUGGAGGGGCUGAGCAGGGGGUCCCCAGGACCCUCCGUGUUUGGUGCCGGAGCUGUGGUACGCAGGUCUUGCGGGCUGCUGCAGGGAUGGAGGUCACCACUGGUGUCAGUGCAAAGGGAGCGUGGUGCAGGGAGCUGGGUGCGUGGGGUGCAUCCGGUGCCUGGGGUGCGGGGAGCUGGGUGCAUGGAGUGCCUGAGCUGCUGGGUGCAUGGUGCACAGGGUGCACAGGGUGUGUGGGGUGCUGGGUGCAUGGCGUGCAUGGGGUGCUGUCUGCAUGGUGCACAGGGUGCACAGGGCGCAUGGGGUGUUGGGUGCAUGGUGCACGGGGUGCUGGGUGCAUGGGGUGCAUGGGGUGCAGGCUGCAUGGUGCACGGGGUGCUGGGUGCACAGCGUGA
rnacentral:lncRNA from 1 species